CGGGGUGAAAAUAUUUAAGCACUAUUCCAACAAUCGAAUUUCCAAGUCUCAGAUCCAAACAUGAAACUAAACAAAACCUAACAAAAAUCAGUAGGCUAAUCAAUUGGAUUUGGGAUCUGGCAUAGGGAAGAGCCAGCGUCGACAAGAAGCCUAAGAACUUCUGAAGGAGUAGUUAUUCGAAGGCAGGAAUAGCUUGAAUGGCCAAUGAGGUGGAGAAAGAAAGGGUGCUGAAUGAUGAUGAGCGGUGUAGGGUGAAUGCAAGCAUUGAAAUGGAGAGAGAUCCAAUGAAGUGCUUAUGGUGGAUAGGAAUGUGGUUGAUGAUGAGGACAAGUCAAAAAAAUCGAUCCAAUUUGGCUGGAUUUAAGGCUCGAGGUGGUUUUAAAGUGGAUUCCGAGGUUGUGAAAGAAAUUCAGGUUCAAUUUGAACGAGCUUCAAAGUCGGGAAGUGAGCUUUCUGAGUUGCUUGAGUUCGGAAAGCUUCCCUAUAAAAACAAGCGUGGUGGCUGUAAUGGCAAAUAUUUGAUUUUAUUUCCUUUGCAAUAUUUUUAGGGUUUAGGGCUAAAUGUCCUAGUUAUAUCAGCUCUCCAUAAUGAAAAUUUCUUCAUGUGGUUGUAUGCAAAGA
rnacentral:lncRNA from 1 species